rnacentral:lncRNA from 1 species
UAGAACAGGCUACUACUCUUAAAGCAGACUUUCAAGAAUGAUGUAACUCCCAAAAUACUUCCCGUGGCUGGUGGGUCGUGCGUGUUAGUGCUUUGGGCUGGCGGCCGAGCUUCCUCCAGUUCUCACUACUACAAUGACACAGACGUCUAUGCAUAGAAAGUCCCCUCUCGAGAGAUACCAGCUGGCCAGUGUUCAAUUUUUGGGGAACUCAAGGACAAUCUUGGCAUUGUUCCUUUGCUGAUAUUAACCAUGAAGGUAACUCUUUUGACUUGUAUUUUGCAGCAAAGCAUAUCAGCUGCGCCAAAAACAAACCCUAGCCACGGGCUGCACAGCACCUCCUAAAGGAGCCAGACGCAGAAUCUUUGCAAGAUAACCAGCGGUGUGCUCAGAUGACUUGCUACCCCCAAAAGCACACUGUGAACUGCAGUAUAUGGAUCGAACCUCGGCUAGUGGACUUCUAUCCCUGUGAAUGUGUGAAAUGACAGCUCUUCCAGACACUGCGUGUAGCAGACUGAGUUCUCCAGAAGUAGGCCUAGAGACAGAGUUUGGGGUCUCAGGGCUCACCACCUGUGAAGAGGAAAGGGAAGAAGAUUGGGGGGAAGAAGAAGUCAACCCACGAUGUAGGCCCACAAAAGACUUGGCCACUCUGGCAGGAAAUUCUAGGAUGAGUUUGCCCAUUACGGUCCCAUGUCAGGCAGAAACGGGCCAGGCCUUUAUCCAUCACCACCCCUCUCCCUCAGUUAUCAGAUUACCCUGGAAAGGGGGUGAUCUCAGCUGGGGUGGCUUUCUGCAGAUGGGGCAGCCCCUGAAGGAGCCGAAGGCUGGCUGGCUGGUGGCUGACCACACUCCCUGCAGCUGGGCAGCAAAUCCUGGAAGAGAGGCCAGGGCAGUGCGUCUCCAUGACCGCCAUCUUGUGCUAAGCUUUUUGUGCUUCAUCUUCCAAUGAGACGGGAACUAUCAUUUCACAAAUGAGUUAAUGGAGGCUUAGAAAUGGUAAAUAAUUUGUCCAAGGUUACCAAUGGAUGAUUGUGAUAUUGUGAUUUAUAAGAAGACAUACAUAGGGGAGUUAAGAUGGCGGAGGAGUAGGGGACCCCUUUUUCAGCCGGUCCCCUGAGUCGAGCUGGAUAGGUACCAGACCAGCCUAAAUAACCACGGAAUCAGCCUGAGACGCAGGAUGAUGCAUCUGGAUCUCUACAAAUGAACAUCUCCAGCGCUGAGUAUUGAGGUACGAAGAGGGGAGCUGUAAACCGUGCACAGAUAUCGG